rnacentral:rRNA from 1 species
GAUGAACGCUGGCGGCGUGCUUAACACAUGCAAGUCGAACGAACCUUCGGGUUAGUGGCGGACGGGUGAGUAACGCGUGAGAAUCUGCCCUCAGGAGGGGGAUAACGGCUGGAAACGGCCGCUAAUACCCCAUAUGCCGAGAGGUGAAAUGAGUAUUCGCCUGAGGAUGAGCUCGCGUCUGAUUAGCUAGUUGGUGGGGUAAGAGCCUACCAAGGCAUCGAUCAGUAGCUGGUCUGAGAGGAUGAUCAGCCACACUGGGACUGAGACACGGCCCAGACUCCUACGGGAGGCAGCAGUGGGGAAUUUUCCGCAAUGGGCGAAAGCCUGACGGAGCAACGCCGCGUGAGGGAUGAAGGCCUCUGGGCUGUAAACCUCUUUUAUCAAGGAAGAAGAUCUGACGGUACUUGAUGAAUAAGCCACGGCUAAUUCCGUGCCAGCAGCCGCGGUAAUACGGGAGUGGCAAGCGUUAUCCGGAAUUAUUGGGCGUAAAGCGUCCGCAGGCGGCCUGAUAAGUCUGUUGUCAAAGCGUGGAGCUUAACUCCAUUUCGGCAAUGGAAACUGUGAGGCUUGAGUGUGGUAGGGGCAGAGGGAAUUCCCGGUGUAGCGGUGAAAUGCGUAGAUAUCGGGAAGAACACCAGUGGCGAAGGCGCUCUGCUGGGCCAUAACUGACGCUCAUGGACGAAAGCCAGGGGAGCGAAAGGGAUUAGAUACCCCUGUAGUCCUGGCCGUAAACGAUGAACACUAGGUGUCGGGGGAAUCGACCCCCUCGGUGUCGUAGCCAACGCGUUAAGUGUUCCGCCUGGGGAGUACGCACGCAAGUGUGAAACUCAAAGGAAUUGACGGGGGCCCGCACAAGCGGUGGAGUAUGUGGUUUAAUUCGAUGCAACGCGAAGAACCUUACCAGGGUUUGACAUCCUGCGAAUCCCUUGGAAACGAGGGAGUGCCUUCGGGAGCGCAGUGACAGGUGGUGCAUGGCUGUCGUCAGCUCGUGUCGUGAGAUGUUGGGUUAAGUCCCGCAACGAGCGCAACCCACGUCUUUAGUUGCCAGCAUUGAGUUGGGCACUCUAGAGAGACCGCCGGUGAUAAACCGGAGGAAGGUGUGGAUGACGUCAAGUCAUCAUGCCCCUUACAUCCUGGGCUACACACGUACUACAAUGCUACGGACAAAGGGCAGCAAACUCGCGAGAGCUAGCAAAUCCCAUAAACCGUGGCUCAGUUCAGAUCGUAGGCUGCAACUCGCCUACGUGAAGGAGGAAUCGCUAGUAAUCGCAGGUCAGCAUACUGCGGUGAAUACGUUCCCGGGCCUUGUACACACCGCCCGUCACACCAUGGAAGUUGGCCACGCCCGAAGCCGUUACUCCAACCCUUGUGGAGGAGGACGUCGAAGGUGGGGCUGAUGACUGGGGUGAAGUCGUAACAAGGUAGCCGUACCGGAAGGUGCGGCUGGAUCACCUCCUAA